CCUGGUGGAAGGAGAGCGCUUUCUUACCUGACAGGACUACUGUGCAUGGCUGUCCUGUGUCUCCAUUGAUCAGACUCACAGGAAAGUAAACCAAAUGAGGAUGAAACAGCUUUACCUCUGGACGCAUCAUACAGAUGAAAAAACGCUCACUCUAAAUCUUGCUGGCUUUCCAUCACAUCAGAUCGACCGAGACACUCUGAUUCCUUGUCUUUAUUUGUUUUCUGCGGAAUUCUCCUGUCUCUUUUGGUUCAAGUUCAACUGGUAAAAAGCUUUUCACUGCACAGUGGUUGACCCAGGUAUCCUCAAGGGUCUGUCUGGAACGGUACUAGCUGGUAAGAGUUUUGUUUCAGAUGUAUUUCAGCUAUGCCCAUUGCCUAGCACAGAAGCAGGAGAAAGUGCCUGUUUACUGUUCUAGAUGUCCAACACUCAAUUUUAAUUCUUCUUGAAGCUAGGGGUCCCAGCAAUCCAAACCAGAUGCCCAGCCUCCCAAUCUAAUGCAUGAGCAGAGGGGCUCUCUGAAACACCAGCACAGACUAGGUAAGAAAUACCUUGAAAGCAGCCCUGUGGAGAAGGACAUGGGGGUACUGGUUGAUGAGAAGCUCAACGUGAGCCAGCAAUACGCGCUUGCAACCCAAAAAUCCACCUGUAUCCUGGGCUGCAUCAAAAGCAGGGCAAUGUGAAAAAAAAAAGAAAAAAAAAGGAAAAAAAAAAAGGGAAAAGGAUAAGGCCUUAACACUGUGCAAGCCCUUCUCAGCAAUAACUAAAACAUUGGAGUGAAGCCAGGAUUGCUCUGAUAGCAUUCUUCAUGAUCCAGCACAACUGACUGCUCUCGCAAGAUCAGGUUCAUUUCUUCUGAACCAGUCCGUAUUUUGGAGGCUCCCGUUUCCUUAAAAAUCUCCAAAUUCUAACAAAAUACAUCAUUCAUGCUUCUGUCAAG